CGUGUAGGCGGCCCGGUAAGUCUGCUGUGAAAACCCGGGGCUCCAACCCCGGGCGUGCAGUGGAAACUGCCGGGCUAGAGGGCGGCAGAGGCGAGUGGAAUUCCCGGUGUAGCGGUGAAAUGCGCAGAUAUCGGGAGGGACACCAGUAGCGAAGGCGGCUCGCUGGGCCCGUCCCUGACGCUGAGACGCGAAAGCUAGGGGAGCGAACA
rnacentral:rRNA from 1 species